CGGGGAAUCUUGGACAAUGGGGGCAACCCUGAUCCAGCCAUGCCGCGUGAGUGAAGAAGGCCUUCGGGUUGUAAAGCUCUUUCGGCCGGGAAGAAAUCCUAUUCGAUAAUACCGGGUGGGGAUGACGGUACCGGCAUAAGAAGCACCGGCUAACUACGUGCCAGCAGCCGCGGUAAUACGUAGGGUGCGAGCGUUAAUCGGAAUUACUGGGCGUAAAGCGUGCGCAGGCGGUCUUUUAAGCCAGAUGUGAAAUCCCCGGGCUUAACCUGGGAACUGCGUUUGGAAAUGGAAGGCUAGAGUACGGCAGAGGGGGGUGGAAUUCCACGUGUAGCAGUGAAAUGCGUAGAGAUGUGGAGGAACACCGAUGGCGAAGGCAGCCCCCUGGGCCUGUACUGACGCUCAUGCACGAAAGCGUGGGGAGC
rnacentral:rRNA from 1 species